AGACUAGUAGCGAAGUGGUCAAACGCGAGAGAUUUAAGUGUUAGGUCUUGGCUCGUUUGCCGGGAUGUGGUGAUGGCUCGCUCAGUGUGAUUAAUGCCAGAUCCUUACCUAUUCCUCUUCCUUAGGGUUCGUGGGUUCGAACCCCACCUAGUCUA
rnacentral:tRNA from 1 species